rnacentral:rRNA from 1 species
GGGGGUUAAAGUAUAUUAAUAGAAAAAAUUGAAAUAUUUAUAAAAAAAUAGUAUUGUGAAAGAAAUUUGAAAUAUAUGAAAAAUAAAUUAUUUAAAAGUAAUUUUAAUUUAAUGUAUCUUGUGUAUCAGAGUUUAUUAAAAAAUAUUUUUAAUAAAAAAAUUCUCGAAUUUAAGAGAGAUAAUUAAUUAAUAAAGUUAUUAUAGCAAAAAUAUUUUAAAUAAUUAAUUUGAAAUGAAAUGUUAAUCGUUCUUAAAGAUAUCUAGUUUUUUUAGAAAAAAAUUUAAUUUAAAAUUUAAUUAAAUAAUUAAUUAAUUAAUUAAUAGAUUAUUGGUUAAAUUUUAUAUUUUAAGGGAUAAGCUUUAAAUUAAAUUUAUAUAAUUAUAUUGUGUUUAAUUUGAAAAUUAUAUAAUUUAUAUUGUUAAUAAAUUAAAAUUUAUUAUAAAUAAUUUCAAUUAAAAUAAAAUUUUAUUUAAUUUAUAUUUAUAUAAAAAAAUAUUUUUUAAUAAAAAAAAAUUAGAUAUAAUGAUAAAAUUAGUAUAUAACAAUAUUAAAAUAAAAUUAAUUAAUGAAAUUAUUUUAAAGGAAUUCGGCAAAAAUAUAUGCUCACUUGUUUAUCAAAAACAUGUCUUUUAGAAAAUAAUUUAAAGUCUAAUCUGCCCACUGAUUUUAAUUAAAGGGCUGCAGUAAUUUGACUGUACAAAGGUAGCAUAAUCAUUAGUCAUUUAAUUGAUGACUUGUAUGAAUGAUUGGAUGAAGUAUAAUCUGUCUCUAAAGUAAAUUAUAGAAUUUAAUUUUUAAAUUAAAAAGUUUAAAUAAAAUAAAAAGACGAGAAGACCCUAUAGAGUUUUAUAAAUUUUUAAAUUAUAAUUGUUUAUAAAAUUAAAAAUUUUUAAUUAAUAAAUUUAUUUUAUUGGGGUGAUAAAAAAAUAAAUUUAACUUUUUUUUUUAAUUAACAUAAAUAAAUGAGUAAGAUGAUCCAAUUAUAUUGAUUAUAAGAAAAAAUUACCUUAGGGAUAACAGCGUAAUUUAAUUUUUUAGUUCAUAUAAAAAAUUAAGUUUGCGACCUCGAUGUUGGAUUAAGAUAAAAUUUAAAUGCAAAAGUUUAAAAUUUUGAUCUGUUCGAUCAUUAAAAUCUUACAUGAUCUGAGUUCAGACCGGUGUGAGCCAGGUUGGUUUCUAUCUUUUAUAAAAUAAAAUAUUUUAGUACGAAAGGAUCAAAUAUUUAAAUUAAAUUUAAUGUUAAUGAAUUUUAUUAAAUAAAUAAUA